AGAGUUUGAUCCUGGCUCAGGAUGAACGCUAGCUACAGGCUUAACACAUGCAAGUCGAGGGGCAGCAUGGUCUUAGCUUGCUAAGGCCGAUGGCGACCGGCGCACGGGUGAGUAACACGUAUCCAACCUGCCGUCUACUCUUGGACAGCCUUCUGAAAGGAAGAUUAAUACAAGAUGGCAUCAUGAGUCCGCAUGUUCACAUGAUUAAAGGUAUUCCGGUAGACGAUGGGGAUGCGUUCCAUUAGAUAGUAGGCGGGGUAACGGCCCACCUAGUCUUCGAUGGAUAGGGGUUCUGAGAGGAAGGUCCCCCACAUUGGAACUGAGACACGGUCCAAACUCCUACGGGAGGCAGCAGUGAGGAAUAUUGGUCAAUGGGCGAGAGCCUGAACCAGCCAAGUAGCGUGAAGGAUGACUGCCCUAUGGGUUGUAAACUUCUUUUAUAAAGGAAUAAAGUCGGGUAUGGAUACCCGUUUGCAUGUACUUUAUGAAUAAGGAUCGGCUAACUCCGUGCCAGCAGCCGCGGUAAUACGGAGGAUCCGAGCGUUAUCCGGAUUUAUUGGGUUUAAAGGGAGCGUAGAUGGAUGUUUAAGUCAGUUGUGAAAGUUUGCGGCUCAACCGUAAAAUUGCAGUUGAUACUGGAUAUCUUGAGUGCAGUUGAGGCAGGCGGAAUUCGUGGUGUAGCGGUGAAAUGCUUAGAUAUCACGAAGAACUCCGAUUGCGAAGGCAGCCUGCUAAGCUGCAACUGACAUUGAGGCUCGAAAGUGUGGGUAUCAAACAGGAUUAGAUACCCUGGUAGUCCACACGGUAAACGAUGAAUACUCGCUGUUUGCGAUAUACUGCAAGCGGCCAAGCGAAAGCGUUAAGUAUUCCACCUGGGGAGUACGCCGGCAACGGUGAAACU
rnacentral:rRNA from 1 species